rnacentral:rRNA from 1 species
GCGUAAUAGCUCACUAGUCGAGUGACACUGCGCCGAAAAUGUACCGGGGCUAAACAUAUUACCGAAGCUGUGGAUUGUCCUUUGGACAAUGGUAGGAGAGCGUUCUAAGGGCGUUGAAGCAUGAUCGUAAGGACAUGUGGAGCGCUUAGAAGUGAGAAUGCCGGUGUGAGUAGCGAAAGACGGGUGAGAAUCCCGUCCACCGAUUGACUAAGGUUUCCAGAGGAAGGCUCGUCCGCUCUGGGUUAGUCGGGUCCUAAGCUGAGGCCGACAGGCGUAGGCGAUGGAUAACAGGUUGAUAUUCCUGUACCACCUAUAAUCGUUUUAAUCGAUGGGGGGGACGCAGUAGGAUAGGCGAAGCGUGCGAUUGGAUUGCACGUCUAAGCAGUAAGGCUGAGUAUUAGGCAAAUCCGGUACUCGUUAAGGCUGAGCUGUGAUGGGGAGAAGACAUUGUGUCUUCGAGUCGUUGAUUUCACACUGCCGAGAAAAGCCUCUAGAUAGAAAAUAGGUGCCCGUACCGCAAACCGACACAGGUAGUCAAGAUGAGAAUUCUAAGGUGAGCGAGCGAACUCUCGUUAAGGAACUCGGCAAAAUGACCCCGUAACUUCGGGAGAAGGGGUGCUCUUUAGGGUUAACGCCCAGAAGAGCCGCAGUGAAUAGGCCCAAGCGACUGUUUAUCAAAAACACAGGUCUCUGCUAAACCGUAAGGUGAUGUAUAGGGGCUGACGCCUGCCCGGUGCUGGAAGGUUAAGAGGAGUGGUUAGCUUCUGCGAAGCUACGAAUCGAAGCCCCAGUAAACGGCGGCCGUAACUAUAACGGUCCUAAGGUAGCGAAAUUCCUUGUCGGGUAAGUUCCGACCCGCACGAAAGGCGUAACGAUUUGGGCACUGUCUCAACGAGAGACUCGGUGAAAUCAUAGUACCUGUGAAGAUGCAGGUUACCCGCGACAGGACGGAAAGACCCCGUGGAGCUUUACUGUAGCCUGAUAUUGAAAUUCGGCACAGCUUGUACAGGAUAGGUAGGAGCCUUUGAAACGUGAGCGCUAGCUUACGUGGAGGCGCUGGUGGGAUACUACCCUAGCUGUGUUGGCUUUCUAACCCGCACCACUUAUCGUGGUGGGAGACAGUGUCAGGCGGGCAGUUUGACUGGGGCGGUCGCCUCCUAAAAGGUAACGGAGGCGCUCAAAGGUUCCCUCAGAAUGGUUGGAAAUCAUUCAUAGAGUGUAAAGGCAUAAGGGAGCUUGACUGCGAGACCUACAAGUCGAGCAGGGUCGAAAGACGGACUUAGUGAUCCGGUGGUUCCGCAUGGAAGGGCCAUCGCUCAACGGAUAAAAGCUACCCCGGGGAUAACAGGCUUAUCUCCCCCAAGAGUUCACAUCGACGGGGAGGUUUGGCACCUCGAUGUCGGCUCAUCGCAUCCUGGGGCUGUAGUCGGUCCCAAGGGUUGGGCUGUUCGCCCAUUAAAGCGGUACGCGAGCUGGGUUCAGAACGUCGUGAGACAGUUCGGUCCCUAUCCGUCGUGGGCGUAGGAAAUUUGAGAGGAGCUGUCCUUAGUACGAGAGGACCGGGAUGGACAUACCUCUGGUGUACCAGUUGUCGUGCCAACGGCAUAGCUGGGUAGCUAUGUGUGGACGGGAUAAGUGCUGAAAGCAUCUAAGCAUGAAGCCCCCC